GACGAACGCUGGCGGCGUGCUUAACACAUGCAAGUCGAGCGAUGAAGCACCUUCGGGUGUGAAUUAGCGGCGAACGGGUGAGGAACACGUGAGAAAUCUGCCUUCAACUCUGGGAUAACUCCGUGAAAACGGGGCUAAUACCGGAUAUGAAACCUGCGGGCAUCCGCGGGUUUGGAAAGUUUUUCGGUUGAAGAUGAUCUCGCGGCCUAUCAGCUUGUUGGUGAGGUAAUGGCUCACCAAGGCGACGACGGGUAGCCGGCCUGAGAGGGCGACCGGCCACACUGGGACUGAGACACGGCCCAGACUCCUACGGGAGGCAGCAGUGGGGAAUAUUGGGCAAUGGAGGAAACUCUGACCCAGCGACGCCGCGUGCGGGAUGAAGGCCUUCGGGUUGUAACCGCUUUCAGCAGGGAAGAAGCGAAAGUGACGGUACCUGCAGAAGAAGCACCGGCUAACUAUGUGCCAGCCGCCGCCGUAA
rnacentral:rRNA from 1 species